rnacentral:rRNA from 1 species
GUUCUUCGGAAUGAGAGACCGGCGCACGGGUGCGUAACGCGUAUGCAAUCUACCUUUUACAGAGGGAUAGCCCAGAGAAAUUUGGAUUAAUACCUCAUAGUAUAUAGAGUUGGCAUCAACACUAUAUUAAAGUCACAACGGUAAAAGAUGAGCAUGCGUCCCAUUAGCUAGUUGGUAAGGUAACGGCUUACCAAGGCGACGAUGGGUAGGGGUCCUGAGAGGGAGAUCCCCCACACUGGUACUGAGACACGGACCAGACUCCUACGGGAGGCAGCAGUGAGGAAUAUUGGUCAAUGGGCGCAAGCCUGAACCAGCCAUGCCGCGUGCAGGAUGACGGUCCUAUGGAUUGUAAACUGCUUUUGUACGGGAAGAAACAGCGAUUCGUGAAUCGCCUUGACGGUACCGUAAGAAUAAGGAUCGGCUAACUCCGUGCCAGCAGCCGCGGUAAUACGGAGGAUCCAAGCGUUAUCCGGAAUCAUUGGGUUUAAAGGGUCCGUAGGCGGUUUGGUAAGUCAGUGGUGAAAGCCCAUCGCUCAACGGUGGAACGGCCAUUGAUACUGCCAGACUUGAAUUAUUAGGAAGUAACUAGAAUAUGUAGUGUAGCGGUGAAAUGCUUAGAGAUUACAUGGAAUACCAAUUGCGAAGGCAGGUUACUACUAAUGGAUUGACGCUGAUGGACGAAAGCGUGGGUAGCGAACAGGAUUAGAUACCCUGGUAGUCCACGCCGUUAACGAUGGAUACUAGCUGUUGGGAGCGAUCUCAGUGGCUAAGCGAAAGUGAUAAGUA